rnacentral:lncRNA from 1 species
GUGUGUAUCUGUUGUAUCCUUGGGAGUUUGUCUAAAUGAGUUUUGUUUCUAUGUAUCUGUUAUCAAUCGCGAGCUUUGGGUAGCAAUGUCUGGGGGAAUAAUCACCUGUGGAUUGGGCCUAUGCAUUUAUAUAGAAAACGCAAUUAUCUUCUUUUGGUUUUAACCCACUUCCUAUUAAACACGUCUCGAAGCAUAAUCAGACUCGACCCGGGGAGCAAUGGGCUUUGGCCCACUGGCUCACAUGCUUCCACUUUAUUCGGGAUCUUAGCAGAAACCAAGUAAUAUGAUGGGAGGAGUCAGAAAGGAAACAAAUGGACCUCCUUGGACAUUUAGAAAUUUUCUUUUAUUGUCCAUAGAAGGCCGGUGGAUAAAGAAGAGAAAUUGCCGAGAACCAUGACUGCCGGAGGUUUUUUAACCUUUAAAUGUUGAAUGAGAUGGAGGGAAUAAAAUUGACUAUUUGUCUCUAUUUAGUUGUUGUUUACCAGUUUGGCAAUACUUGAAGAAUAAGAGAA